UUCCCCUUUUUUUCUCAGCCACAUCUUCUUAACCUUUUGUCUUCUUUAUUACUCCCUUAUCUCUAUUUUCCUCCACACAGCACACAUUUCUUCACAUUUUUUCUUCUUUUAAGUUUCAACGCCUUGGAUUUUUUUGAAAAUAACUAUAAAAACCAAACUAUAUUAUUAGUUAGCCAAGGUUUGAAACUAUUUUGGUAUCUAACAAAUCGAGUGUGUUACUCUUGAUUUUGGGAUUAUAAAUCGAGUAUAUUGCACUUGAUUUUCCCAUUGCACCAGCAGCUGAGGUGGACAAACUAUCCACGUAGGCCUGUAAAUCUAGCCCAAAGGACUCGGUUUGGUAUAAAGGAAAUCGAGCCCAAAGAACUCGAUUUAGUUUUAAUGGAAACCGAGCCUACUAAACUCGAUUUCAGUUCAUCCCUCCACGUGUUAAAAUCACUCAAAACAUCACUCAAACUCAAACACACUCAACAGAUCACUUAAACACACUCAAACUCAAACACACCGAGUCCUCACAGUUUCUCACUCUUCAAACCCCCACUCUCACUCUUCAAACCUUGCGCCACUACUUAGCCUCAUCACUUUUCAAACUCUCACUCUCACUCUCACUCUUCAAACCCUCACUCUCAAUCUUCAAACCUUGCGCCACUGCUCAACCUCAUCACUCUUCAAACUCUCACUCUUCAAACCCUCACUCUUCAAACUCUCACUCUCCUUCAAACCUCGUGCCACGCCACUACUCAACCUCAUCACUCUUCAAACUCUCACUCUCAGUCUUCAAACCUCGUGCCACUACUCAACCUCAAUCUAAAGUAUGGCUGUCGUUGCUGUUAAGAUCCCUAAUGAGUUCGGUCCUGGUCCCAUGGAAGGUUCGAUGUUAAGGUUUCUAAAAGAACAUCAAUCGUGCGUUGUUUAGGAAGGUGAGGUAAAAUUAAAAUCGACCACCUAUUGAAUUUCUAUAUUCUCCUCUUAUCCUUUUACAUUAUGUUGAAUUUUUUUUCCAUUUCUAAAAUUCUAAGUUUGUCAAUGGUACUACUAGCUUUGAAUGCAUAGUCAUGCCUAUUAGUUGGGUUGAGUUAGAUUGGUUAACUGUUGCACACCCUUAGACUUGAUUUCCAUGCCUACGUGGAUAGAUUCUCCAGCUCAGAUGCUGGCACAACGCGAAAAUCAAGUACAUCAUACUUGAUUUAUAACCCAAAAUCGAGAGUAAAACACUCAAUUUGUUAGAUACCAAAUUAGUUUCAAACCUUGGCUAACUAAUAAUAUAGUUUGGCUUUUAUAGUUAUUUUCAAAAAAAAAUCCCAACGUCUCUCUCUCUCUAACUCUGUUUCACCUCCUCUAAACUACUACUUCAUCAAAGGGGAGAGAGUGAGAACUGAGAAAGAUCAAAAUGAAAGAUAGAGAGAUCUUGGCAAACCCAAAGAAAAUGAAGAACAACAAAGAUAGAGAGGUGGUCGCCGGUCAUUGAUUGAAGAUUGGAUCAGAGCAAAGCAAACGAAAGCAUAUGGUCAAUCAUAGUGUUACCCUGUUCCUCCUUACGCCUUUGCUCAUCAAUAAGUGCUUGCAAGAACUCAUUCAUCCUCUUGGAGAGACUCUUCAACUUCUUCUCCAAACCUCCAUAAUCCAUCCACCGCAAGAUGGGUAUAAACUCCAUUUGAAAGAUUUUGCUAUAUUUUGAUGUUUUUUUGUUUUGCAUUUUAAGGAAUCCUAAUUUGCAAGGGAUUGAUUUUUUUUUUUUUCCUUAGUUGAUUUGGGAAUUUGUUAUAGAUUUUUUUGUGUUUAGACUUGGAAAUUUGUUAUUGAAUUGAACCUGGACUAGACACUAUUUUU